rnacentral:rRNA from 1 species
GAUGAACGCUGGCGGCGUGCCUAAUACAUGCAAGUCGAGCGGACGGACGAGAAGCUUGCUUCUCUGAUGUUAGCGGCGGGCGGGUGAGUAACACGUGGAUAACCUACCUAUAAGACUGGGAUAACUUCGGGAAACCGGAGCUAAUACCGGAUAAUAUUUUGAACCGCAUUGUUCAAAAGUGAGAGACGGUCUUGCUGUCACUUAUAGAUGGAUCCGCGCUGCAUUAGAUGGUUGUUAAGGUAACGGCCUACCAAGGCAACGAUGCAUAGCCGAACUGAGAGGGUGAUAGGCCACCCUGGAAGUGGGCCACGGACCAUGCUCCUACGGGAGGCAGCAGUCGGGAAUGGUACGCAAUGGGCGAAAGCCUGACGGAGCAACGCCGCGUGAGUGACGAAGGUCUUCGGAUCGUAAAACUCUGUUAUUAGGGAAGAACAGAUGUGGAAGUAACUGUGCACAGCUUGACGGUACCUAAUCAGAAAGCCACGGCUAACUACGUG